CCAGUGCAUGCUCAUUGCUUGUGAUGGAGCUGUACCAGAAUACCACGUUGAACAAGGUGACUACACCAACCAUGAGGAGCUCAUCAAACACGUUACAUUUACAGAGGACGUCAACUCUAUCGCGACGGAGGCUUACAAGGUCAGUUUGGCAGGCUCUUUGUUCUUCGCUGGGGUCUUGGUUGGUAAUGUUUGUUUGGACCCCCCUCUGACAAGAUUGAAAGGAAACCAGUCUUCCUAACAGCUCUGUUCUUCGAUGUUUUGUUUUGGUUAUGCCACAGCCUUUGCUCCCAGCUAUGAGGCGUUUGCAUUGUCCUGCCUGCUAAUGGGUCGAAUGAAUGGGGGAAUGUCCCUCGUCUGUUUCGUGCUUACUCAGGAGUAUGUGGGCAAGGCCUACUGGGCCAUGACAGGACUCUCCCGGAGUCUCCAUGCUGGCUGUAUUCCGGUGAUUACACGGAGCAGGCGGAGGAGGUUCUGCAGUACAUGGCCAUGCGGAAUGGGAACGGCAACGCCACAGCCAAAGUGAAGCUCCGCAGGUGUCCUGGCUUCGUCAAGAUGUAACUAGGACAAUGAUGGCCCUGGUCUCCUCGGUCUCGUCACCCACCUAGUGCUCCGCUGGAGGACCGUGGUGGUGUCAUGUAUGUCUGGUAUUCCUGCUGCCUGGUGUACAAUGGGCUCAUCAUGAAUGCCAGUGAGGACGAUGGGAACCGCUACUUCAGUGUUGCCAUGUAUGGAUUGGUGGAGCUCCCGGCCUACCCUCUCUGUAUCUAUUUCAUAAACAAGCAGUGGUAAGAUUCUCACCACCUGUCAUGAUAUCCUAUGAAUUGAAGUGUGCCAGUGGUGCACUGAAUAAAUGUCUUGUUUUGUGGUUAAAAAUAAAAAGUUUAAUUGUAAUAGUUUCACAAUACUGUUAUUCUCAUCACACCUGUGCUAGACAGUUAGAAUGUAUGCUUGUUUUUAGGUCUGGGAGAAGGAAAACAUGGCUAGCUUUCUGGGGUUAUAUCUAUGCACUAUGUUAAUCCCAGAAAACACUGGCAAGGGCAUCCCAUCUACAGUCUGACAGAAUAUAUUAGAUACAUUUUUAUUCAUAAUGUGUUUUUUUAAAGCUUUGUUACCCUGUCUUUAUUAUUUAGGGACUGUGUUCAAUGCUACCUCUUUAGAUUGUUUUUUUUAGGAAAGCUGUUGGUCAGUGUGCGUCUAUACGACUGAACUGUAACCCACUAUUAUAAGGAACGCUGGUCUUGGGGUCUGCUCAAUGUCCUGCUGAGUCGGAGGGAUCCUGGAACCUUUUUUGCCCUCUACGACACUUUGUUUGAAGAGGACCAAUUGAAAACGAGCCACAAACUAAAUCAGUGACUAUGAACGAGAAAACAAUCUGACGAGAGGGACUAUCGAAGCCUGUUCACACACGAGUGCUUUCUCACAUCAAAUCAGAUGUCCUCUUGUUUCCAUGGUGAAGCAAGGACAGGGCUAGCUACAUGCCCGUGAUGGAUGGUGGACCAUUUUACAGGGAACAGCACACAUGUUUUGAAUCUUUUCAUGUUAUUUUGUUUCUGUGUGGGGGUUGUGUGAUACGUUUUGUACUGUACAAUGAAAUGUGAAGUGCCUUCUAAAAUCGCUGUUUAGCAAUGUAGAUAAUGUCAAAUGGGAUUAUAAAGUAACAAUUAAUCAUGUGAUAUCAAAUGGAAGAGAAUUACAAUUACUGUCAAAGGUUCUCUGUUUCUAACAAUUUGAAGCAUGUAGUUUAAAUGGGUGGUUUCAUGAUGUUGGGUGAUUAGGCCUGGCUCGCAGUCAGAGUUUCAAUUCAUCCCAAAGGUGUUCGAUGGGGUUGAGGUCAGGGCUCUGUGCAGGUCAGUCAAGUUCUUCCACACCGAUCUGUGUAUAUAUAUUUUCACACAGGCAGCCCAAUUCUGGUCUUUUGAACAAUCACAUCAGAUCUUUUUGAUCUGAUUGGUCAAAACGACAAUUAGUGGGAAAAAAAUAUUGGAAUUGGGCUGCCUGUCUAAACACAGCGAAAAUGUGAAUGGUUUGUGCAGUAUUCUAAUUUGUACAGUAUUCUAGUACCCCCCCCCCCCCCAAGUCAUUGGUUUACGUUGUGCUCCAAGGUGAUGCCAGAGCUAUAAUUGUGAUUGUUAACAUGACAGCAAGUAGUACAGUGGUGUGUAAUACAGGUAACUGACAAAAUAUAAGGAACACCAACAUAAAAUGUCUUCAUGGGACAUGGGCCACCAAGAGCCAGAACAUCUUCAAAACACCAGUACAAGUGUCUGGAACUCAAUUAGAGGGAUGCGACAUCGUUCUUCCAUGAGAAAUUCUAUCAUUUAGUGUUUUGUUAAUGAUGGUGGAAAACACUGUCUCAGGUGCUGCUCUAGAAUCUCCCAUUGGGAUGGCAUAUGGUUUACAUCGUUUUCAUGCUCAUCUGACCACUCGCGCCCUGUGGAUGGGGUUAUUGCUAUCCUAUUGGAGCCUAGCCAUGGUAGCCAAAAUAAUGGCCUGCCCAGUGUUUAUAUACAGUACAUGACCGUAAGCAUGAUGGGAUGAUAAUUGGUUAAUUAACUCAGGAACCACACCUGUGUGGAAGCACCUGCUUUCUAUAUACUUUGUAUCCUUCAUGUACUCAUGUUUCCAUUCAUUUGGAAGUUACCUAUAUAUUUAUGAGAAUGACUUGAACAUGAUCAUAAAUUACACAAACCUGCACAGUGUUUAUGCCCUUCAAAAUUACGCGCUGAAAUUUCUCUUCUAUUAAAGCAAAAUGUGUUAGACUGUAACAGGGUGUAUUGUAAUGUUAAUGGUCACUAAUGUAUUCUUUUUUUAUUUUGAGGGGGGGCAUUGUAAUGUUUUAUAUCUAUAUAAAUGAUGUUGAAUAAAAGUGAUAUAUUGAUACCA